UACGUAGGGGGCAAGCGUUGUCCGGAAUCAUUGGGCGUAAAGGGCGCGUAGGCGGCAAUUCAAGUCAGCUGUGAAAUCUCCGGGCUUAACUCGGAACGGUCAGCUGAUACUGCUUUGCUAGAGUGCAGAAGGGGCAAUCGGAAUUCUUGGUGUAGCGGUGAAAUGCGUAGAUAUCAAGAGGAACACCUGAGGUGAAGGCGGGUUGCUGGGCUGACACUGACGCUGAGGCGCGAAAGCUAGGGUAGCAAACAGG
rnacentral:rRNA from 1 species